CCUGUGCCUUGGCCCCAGGCACCCAGUUCCUGCACCCGACCGUGUCUCGCACAGAUGACGUUUAGCACCUAUCGUCCAGCAGCUGAUCGUGUCUUCACUUCUGUUCCUGCCCCACUGCUAUUGUGUCCUGGUGAAUGAAGCUGCCUGCAAUCCCCGCCCUGCAGAACGUCCACUGCACUGCCAAACGCACUCGACGGAUUUUGCUGCAACCGGCCGUGUCUCGCACAGAUGACGUUCAGCAGCUGAUCGUGUCUUCACUUCUGUUCCUGCCUCACUGCUAUUGUGUCCUGGUGAAUGAAGAUGCCUGCAGAAAGUCCACUGCACGUAAGCCUUGUCUCGUGCAGAUGACGUUCAACACCUGUCUGUCGUCCAGCAGCUGAUCGUGUCUUCACUUCUGUUCCUGCCUCACUGCUUUUGUGUCCUGGUGAGGGAAGAUGCCUGCAAUCCUCGCCCUGCAGAACGUCCACUGCACAUAAUCUGCAACCCUACAUCUGCGGCCCAUCAAGGUUGUCCCACCAGCGUAGUAGGCAAUGACACCAAGUACAGACCGCAGGGAGGCAGGCGUUGCUAUCGCCACUCAUCACAUUGCUGCUCCCGAAGGCGUCGUGCUGCCGGAAACGUUCUUCGCUGCGUCGACGAAGCCAUACAACUAUGAAGUCUCAAGAAACAGCCCGACGUCGCGUGACAUGAAUGAUCAACUAACAUCCCGGUUCGAGUUGUUCGUUCCACCCCAUAGCAGUGCGACGGCCACUCGAUGAAGUCGCACGUUAUUCAAGGGCUGUGACCGUAUGAUGUGGGUGGUGAACAAUCCCAGGUAACAUGCAGUUCUAGCUCAUCGUAGUAGUACAAUGCUCAGACUCUAGCAUUAUGUUGAUCUGGGGUUCUUGCUUCUUACGUUCAUUGACAUUCUGUGCUUUUGUAAUGGUACACUGAUGCUGGUUUGCGUUGCGGAAUUGUGUGUGUGUGUGUGUGUGUGUGUGCGCGCGCGCGUCCGUAUGGGAGUGUGUGUGCGCUCGCGCGUCCGUAUGGAGUGUGAUAGUGUGUUGUGUGCGCAUGCUGCUGCGCGUAUUUCAUCUGGUCGUUAACAUCAUUCUGGCGGGGGUGCGUUUCCUAUUCAACCACGAAUUGUUUGACUGGUUUCUUGCAAUUGGUGACAUCCUUCAGUAAGCUCGUUGAAUGCUCAGUAGUGAUGGUUGCAAAUUGUUUCGGCAACUCUUGCAACGUACAACUGGUCCACUCGCAUAUUUAGUUUUGGCAAUUGUCAAAUUCUUUGGUAUUCCAAGGCAUUUCUGUCGGUAUCUUUUCGUUAUUCUGAUGUUCUUGGUCUUUCAAGUGACUCAUCAUGGACAAUGCAAAACAGCAUCAAUGUACCAUAACAAAAAGCAGGCGUUGGGAAUUAAAGGCAUUAAAUCUUAUUGUCAUUAGCACAUCGUUUGAAAUCUGGUGCUGGCAUGGCACCAAGCUCUUACAUUUUUUACCUGUUUGCUGUCAUUAAUGAUGCUGGUAAUAAAGCAGUGUACCACUCUCAAGGCAUGGCAGGUUCUCGAUCACUCUUCGGACAACACGACCACACAUGCCUGCUGUCUUCAACAGACAGUUUUGCCACAGUUCCGUUUGUCCUACAUGAGUGUUCACUGCCCUGUGUAAAUUUACCUGCCUGUGUUUAUUUAGUGGACAUUUCUAUGACAUGUAUUUGCUGAACGAUAUUCUCUGGAACUGAAUAAAAUCGCGAGGAUAUUUUUU
rnacentral:lncRNA from 1 species